rnacentral:rRNA from 1 species
AUGGGCAGCCAACUGCUGGCGGCGGCGCCACCAGCGAAACGUCCGUUGAUCUCAUCCACGAUCACUACCACCACCACCCACGCUACCGCCGGCGACGGAACCACCACCACCAUAUCCUCCCUCGGACAAGACCAGCUUCUCGACAUCUUCCUCCGCCUGCCCAACCUGCCGGCCCUCAUCCGCGCGGCGCUCACCUGCCGCCCAUGGCUCGGCGCCGUCCGCUCCUCCCGGUCCUUCCGCCGCCUCUUCCGCGCCCUUCACCCAGCGCCGCUCAUCGGGCUCUUCAUCGACAUCGACGGCGCCGCCGCCCCCUCCUUCGUCCCCCUGCGCCGCUCAGAUCCCAACGUCAUAGCCGCCGUCCGCCGCGGCGACUUCCUCCUCACUUCCCUCCCGGUGAAUGCCGACGAGGAUACGAGCUGGUGUAUCACGGACUGCCGCCAUGGCUACGUCCUGCUGUGGAACAAGAUCGUAUGGAAGAAGCCGACCGUCGCUGCCGUGAACCCCAUGACCUGGGCCUUGGACAUCAUCCCGGUGCCCCGCGAUGUCUGGGCUGGGAGGAGUGGGAGACGCCGCCAUUUCGCCUUCCUUGGUUUCCAUCUGCUGUCUUCCCAGGAGAACCCCCGGUCGUUCCGCGUGGUCUGCGUAUGUGCUGACAAGCAAAGAGUUCGUGUCGCCGUCUUCUCACCGGAGACGAGGAAUUGGGUCGUCCACCCGUGGGUGCACGUCGGUGGUGACAACAGCCUCAAGUCCAGCGCCGGCACGCUGGUGGGUGGUUCCGUUUACUGGCCUUUCCACGGCGAAGGGCGCAUGAUUAGGAUCAACACAGCCACCAUGGAUAUCUCCUUUGUGGAUCUACCCUCGCAAAUCAAGGUGUACGGGCACAAUUUCAAGGCCGGGGAGACCAAGGACGGCCAACUAUGCAUUGUCUAUGCGUCUGACGAUUUUCUCCUCCGUGCUUGGACCCGUAGUCUGGACGCCGACGGAAUUGAGGUCUGGGUGCUGAAAAACAUUCUCUCUUUGAGUGAAGGAAUUGAUGAGAUCACUGAGGGGUGUGCUGUGGACUUGCCAGUCGACCUCAAAGUUGUGCAAGUUAGGUCAGGAUACGUGUACUUGUCCGCGACGUGCAUGACCCAUCCUGGCACACUCCGCUGCUGGUUCAUCUCCCUUUCACUCGAGACCACUGAGUUUGAGUUACUGGUUCAUGGGUGUUUUGGUGGCUCUGUCUGUCCGUACAACAUGGCCUGGCCUCCUUGUUUGGUUGGUGAUGAUGGGAGCAUUGGGCAUCAUGAAGUUGAAGGCUCUCACUGA